UGAGGAAUAUUGCGCAAUGGGCGAAAGCCUGACGCAGCGACGCCGCGUGGAGGAUGAAGGUCUUCGGAUUGUAAACUUCUGUUACGUGGGAAGAAAAGUUUGUUUCUAAUACAAGCAAUAAUGACGGUACCACUAGAGAAAGCACCGGCUAACUUCGUGCCAGCAGCCGCGGUAAUACGAGGGGUGCAAGCGUUAUUCGGAAUGACUGGGCGUAAAGGGUGCGUAGACGGUAUAUUAAGUCUGUCGUUAAAUUCUUCAGCCUAACUGAAGACCAGCGAUGGAAACUGAUAUUCUGGAGGAUGAAAGAGAGAAGUGGAAUUCUCGGAGUAGCGGUAAAAUGCGUAGAUCUCGAGAGGAACACCAAUGGCGAAAGCAGCUUCUUGGUUCAUUCCUGACGUUGAGGCACGAAAGCGUGGGGAGCAAACAGG
rnacentral:rRNA from 1 species